rnacentral:rRNA from 1 species
AGAAUCAACGCUGGCGGCGUGCCUAACACAUGCAAGUCGAACGAGAAAAGGGAGCAAUCCCUGAGUACAGUGGCGACCGGGUGAGUAACACGUGACUAACCUACCCUCGAGUGUGGAAUAACAUCGGGAAACCGAUGCUAAUACCGCAUAACAUCGCAAGAUCAAAGGAGUAAUCCGCUUGAGGAGGGGGUCGCGGCUGAUUAGCUAGUUGGCGGGGUAAUGGCCCACCAAGGCGAAGAUCGGUAUCCGGCCUGAGAGGGCGCACGGACACACUGGAACUGAAACACGGUCCAGACUCCUACGGGAGGCAGCAGUGGGGAAUUUUGCGCAAUGGGGGAAACCCUGACGCAGCAACGCCGCGUGGAGGAUGAAGCCCCUUGGGGCGUAAACUCCUUUCGACCAAGACGAUUAUGACGGUACUGGUGGAAGAAGCACCGGCUAACUCUGCGCCAGCAGCCGC